UACAGAGGGUGCAAGCGUUAAUCGGAAUUACUGGGCGUAAAGCGUGCGUAGGCGGUUCGUUAAGUUCGUUGUGAAAGCCCCGGGCUCAACCUGGGAAUGGCAAUGGAAACUGGCGGGCUGGAGUAUGGCAGAGGGGGUGGAAUUCCGCGUGUAGCAGUGAAGUGCGUAGAGAUGCGGAGGAACACCGAUGGCGAAGGCAGCCCCCUGGGCCAAUACUGACGCUCAGGCACGAAAGCGUGGGGAGCAAACAGG
rnacentral:rRNA from 1 species